rnacentral:misc_RNA from 1 species
GAUGAAGAACGUAGCGAAAUGCGAUAAGUAGUGUGAAUUGCAGAAUUCAGUGAAUCAUCGAAUCUUUGAACGCACAUUGCGCCCUUUGGUAUUCCUUAGGGCAUGCCUGUUCGAGCGUCAUUUAAACCUUCAAGCUCAGCUUGGUGUUGGGUGACUGUCCGCUUCACCGCGGACUCGCCUCAAAAUUAUUGGCGGCCGGUACAUUGGCUUCGAGCGCAGCAGAAACGCGAACUCGGGCCCGUCGUAUUGGCUCCCAGAAGCUAUCUUCACAAUUUUGACCUCGGAUCAGGUAGGGAUACCCGCUGAACUUAAGCACAUCAAUAAGCGGAGGA